rnacentral:rRNA from 1 species
GACGAACGCUGGCGGCGUGCUUAACACAUGCAAGUCGAGCGGUAAGGCCCUUCGGGGUACACGAGCGGCGAACGGGUGAGUAACACGUGAGUAAUCUGCCCAUCACUUCGGGAUAACUCCGGGAAACCGGUGCUAAUACCGAAUAUGACCACUUCAGGCAUCUGAUGGUGGUGGAAAGUUCCGGCGGUGAUGGAUGAGCUCGCGGCCUAUCAGCUUGUUGGUGGGGUAGUGGCCUACCAAGGCUUCGACGGGUAGCCGGCCUGAGAGGGUGACCGGCCACACUGGGACUGAGACACGGCCCAGACUCCUACGGGAGGCAGCAGUGGGGAAUAUUGGACAAUGGGCGAAAGCCUGAUCCAGCAACGCCGCGUGAGGGAUGACGGCCUUCGGGUUGUAAACCUCUUUCAGCAGGAACGAAGCGCAAGUGACGGUACCUGCAGAAGAAGCACCGGCCAACUACGUG